AAGUCGUAACAAGGUUUCCGUAGGUGAACCUGCGGAAGGAUCAUUAAUGAGAUCAUGCCCCUCGGGGUAGACCUCCCACCCUUUGUUUACAAUACCUUUGUUGCUUUGGCGGCCCCGUCGCAAGACAACCGGCUCCGGCUGGUCAGCGGCCGCCAGAGGACCCAAAACUCAUAUUAUCAUUGUCGUCUGAGUACUAUAUAAUAGUUAAAACUUUCAACAACGGAUCUCUUGGUUCUG
rnacentral:misc_RNA from 1 species